UAAGCCGUGGUCUAGCUAGGUAUGAUGACGGGCUCCAGACCCGUUGGGCGAGGGUUCAAAUCCCUCCGGCCCCA
rnacentral:tRNA from 1 species